UAUUAGACUUGAGACCGGGAGAGGUUAGAGGUACUCCAGGGUAGAGGUGAAAUUCUGUAAUCCUGGGAGGACCGCCUGUUGCGAAGGCGUCUAACUGGAACGGUUCUGACGGUGAGGGACGAAAGUUAGGGGCGCGAACCGGAUUAGAUACCCGGGUAGUCCUAACUGUAAACGAUGCGGACUUGGUGUUGGGGUGGCUUUGAGCUGCUCCAGUGCCGAAGGGAAGCUGUUAAGUCCGCCGCCUGGGAAGUACGGUCGCAAGACUGAAACUUAAGGAAUUGGCGGGGGAGCACCACAACGCGUGGAGCCUGACCGGUUUAAUUGGAUUCAACGCCGGACAUCUCACCAGAGGCGACAGCUGUAUGAUAGCCAGGUUGAUGACUUUGCUUGACUAGCUGAGUAGAGGUGCAUGG
rnacentral:rRNA from 1 species